rnacentral:rRNA from 1 species
ACAGAGGGUGCGAGCGUUAAUCGGAAUUACUGGGCGUAAAGCGUGCGUAGACGGUUAUUUAAGUCGGGUGUGAAAGCCCCGGGCUCAACCUGGGAAUUGCAUUCGAGACUGAAUAGCUAGGGUACGGUAGAGGGAAGUGGAAUUUCCGGUGUAGCGGUGAAAUGCGUAGAUAUCGGGAGGAACAUCUGUGGCGAAGGCGACACCCUGGACCAGCACUGACACUGAGGCACGAAAGCGUGGGGAGCAAACAGGA